rnacentral:rRNA from 1 species
AUUGAACGCUGGCGGCAUGCUUUACACAUGCAAGUCGAACGGUAACAGGCCGCAAGGUGCUGACGAGUGGCGGACGGGUGAGUAAUGCAUCGGAACGUGCCCAGUCGUGGGGGAUAACUACUCGAAAGAGUAGCUAAUACCGCAUACGAUCUAUGGAUGAAAGCGGGGGACGGUAAGGCCUCGCGCGAUUGGAGCGGCCGAUGUCAGGUUAGGUAGUUGGUGGGGUAAAGGCUCACCAAGCCAACGAUCUGUAGCUGGUCUGAGAGGACGACCAGCCACACUGGGACUGAGCCACGGCCCAGACUCCUACGGGAGGCAGCAGUGGGGAAUUUUGGACAAUGGGCGCAAGCCUGAUCCAGCAAUGCCGCGUGCAGGAAGAAGGCCUUCGGGUUGUAAACUGCUUUUGUACGGAACGAAACGGCUCUGGUUAAUACCCGGGGCUAAUGACGGUACCGUAAGAAUAAGCACCGGCUAACUACGUG